rnacentral:rRNA from 1 species
UAGGGAAUCUUCGGCAAUGGGGGCAACCCCUGACCGAGCAACGCCGCGUGAGUGAAGAAGGUUUUCGGAUCGUAAAGCUCUGUUGUAAGAGAAGAACGUGUGUGAGAGUGGAAAAUUCACACAGUGACGGUAACUUACCAGAAAGGGACGGCUAACUACGUGCCGG